rnacentral:rRNA from 1 species
AUCCGCCCGGGUACUACGAGCAUAGCUUAAAACCCAAAGGACUUGGCGGUGCCUCAGACCCACCUAGAGGAGCCUGUUCUAGAACCGAUAAACCCCGUUAAACCUCACCACUUCUUGUUUUUCCCGCCUAUAUACCGCCGUCGUCAGCUUACCCCGUGAAGGCCUAAUAGUAAGCAAAAUUGGUACACCCAAAAACGCCAGGUCGAGGUGUAGCGAAUGAAGUGGGAAGAAAUGGGCUACAUUUUCUAUAAACAGAAUACUACGAAUGGCACCCUGAAAUACAUGCCUGAAGGUGGAUUUAGUAGUAAAAAGCAAAUAGUGUGU